rnacentral:rRNA from 1 species
GAUGAACGCUGGCGGCGUGCCUAAUACAUGCAAGUCGAGCGAACGGACGAGAAGCUUGCUUCUCUGAUGUUAGCGGCGGACGGGUGAGUAACACGUGGAUAACCUACCUAUAAGACUGGGAUAACUUCGGGAAACCGGAGCUAAUACCGGUUAAUAUUUUGAACCGCAUGGUUCAAAAGUGAAAGACGGUCUUGCUGUCACUUAUAGAUGGAUCCGCGCUGCAUUAGCUAGUUGGUAAGGUAACGGCUUACCAAGGCAACGAUGCAUAGCCGACCUGAGAGGGUGAUCGGCCACACUGGAACUGAGACGCGGUCCAGACUCCUACGGGAGGCAGCAGUAGGGAAUCUUCCGCAAUGGGCGAAAGCCUGACGGAGCAACGCCGCGUGAGUGAUGAAGGUCUUCGGAUCGUAAAACUCUGUUAUUAGGGAAGAACAUAUGUGUAAGUAACUGUGCACAUCUUGACGGUACCUAAUCAGAAAGCCACGGCUAACUACGUG